rnacentral:misc_RNA from 1 species
AAUAAUUAUUAAAUGAUUAAAAAAUUCUACUUAAACAAAAGAAAAACAAGGAAAAACAAGGGGAAAUCACAGCACCAUCACAGUUCAAAAUUUCAUAGUUGGGUACCAGUCAAAGCCUUCAUCUGAAUGUGAUUAGAAUCAGAAGCAAUAGUACGCAAAGCCUCGUAUGAAGCCAAUCCCCUGAUCCUAAUCCUAGCCAUAACAGCGUAUGUAGCCAUAACAAUGAGAACCACAAAAGUGACAUGAACACAAAAACCAGGUCCGAAAUAGCCACAGCCCUCAGCCUAGACUCUUCCGGAUCACGCCGCAUUAAGCAACGACAUUCCUCAGGAAUAAACGCUUCAACAUAA